rnacentral:lncRNA from 1 species
CUUUCAUUUGGAAGUUUCUAAUGCAAGCUAAUUUUGUGAGAAAAAACUCUCACAUCAUGUAUCUGCCCAUUUUAGAGGAAGGAUAAGCAUAUGGUACAACAUCAGUGGAUGGAACAGAAGCCGCAACUAGUUGAGGGUAUUUCCUUGCCUACAGCUCCAUCAAGCAUUAAGAGAGACUUUCCAGGCCAGCUCCAGAUGAAAAGUGCUUAUUUCAGAAUCUUUAUUUUGGGGGUCUGUGCCAUUAUGUCAAGAUUCUAAAACUCAAAAUUGGAGCCUGAAAAGUCAUGUCUCUCGCUAUGAGAGUGUUGGGGCUCAGAAAGCGAUACCCCAAAGACUGGUGCUUUGAAAUGUUGAGAGGACUUAGAAGCUGCCUCAGAAUCAAGCUGCACUCCAGCCUGGGUAACAGAGCGAGACUCCAUCUCAAAAAAAAAAAAAAAAAAAAAAAAAUAUAUAUAUAUAUAUAUAUGUGUGUGUGUGUAUAUAUAUAGCUAUAUAUAUGUGUAUAUAUAUAUAUAUAGCUAUAUAUAUAUAUAUAUAUAUUGCUGAGAAAGAGAAGAAAAUACAGGGAAGUAGAAAUUAUGCUCUUCAUUGUCUAGGAGUUUUAGUUCUUUAAUU